ACCUCAGGACACCUCUGUCUACAACUGACCUGCACCAGUGCAAAUGGUCUUCUGUUCCCUCGGGGAUUCUCAAAAUGUGUUUGUUGGUUGCUUUUAUUCUUUUGUGUUAUCAUUUUCUGGCAUUCGUGUUUCUCUUUUGUUUAAUAAUAUUCUUUUCUCCAGGAUUAAUUGGGAAGAGAGAACGAUCUUGGCAGGAACCAGAAACUUUCCUAUAGAGGUUGGACAGAGAAUGACCAUCAUUUAUAAAUGCAACAGAAAUUAUUUGUUCAGCUAUAAUAAGAUUGAUAAAUUAUUAAGUUUAGUGAUGAUUAUUCUCCGAACUCCUCCCCCCACCACACACAGAUCCCAAAUGUCAUUACUAGUAUCAUCUCUUUCUUUCUAUUUAAAAAAUCAAUCCCUAAAAUGUUCAUGUGGGCCGUGUCAUUCAUUCAUUGCCUCCUUGUCAGGAGCUCCACUGGCCACAUGCCUGAAAGGAUUUUGACAGGUUCUAAGAUGUCAGGUAUGUUUAUGAGCAUUAGUUCCAAUCAGUUACUGGCAUAAAUUUGUCCAUAUUGUUUCUGAUAUGGCAAUAAUUUUCCUCUCGGAUCCCUUUCAAAUGGUCAUUUCCUCAGGGUUCAGUCUCAAGCUCCCACAGUAUUGGCCAUAUUCACUUAAACAAAAAUGGUUCCCUCGAUUCAUACCCCAUUAACGGAAUUCCUUCACAGACACAUUUUUUUCUAAGUUAGUUUAAGGAUGUUGUAUGGAGGAAAUGGCACUACACCGCAGGGUCAGGUUCUAAUUUGUGCUGUUCUAGAAACUAGAUGUGUGACUAUAACAAAAUCACUUCAUCAUUCUCAGCUUUUGCACCUACAAAAUGGGGUUAAAAUUGGAAAAUGUGGGUAUAAAUCAUUACAAAUGUUCCAAAUUCUAAAAUCCUGUGAUUUGGUUUCAGGUUAUCCAGACUCAACGUAAGCUCACAGAUAUUUCUCUAGACCUAGCUAGCUAAGUUGCUUUCUGGACUUCUUCAUGCUGUCCUUUGUCCCCUCAUGCGUGCAUCUCACACAUUAAAGAGCAAUGGAGAUGAAACAUCCCCAUUCAUAAUUUACUUUCAGCAGAAUAAAAUUGUAUGCUUAAAAAACUAGUCAAAGACUUAUCCACCCCAAAAAUACAUAAUAAAUUCAAAUUUAGAGGUUUUAUUAUCAUAAUUAAGCAGUCCACUGACUCUAACUUAUAAGCAGAAUCCACCUGAAAGCUUCAUUGUGGCUAAGCAUUAUCUCAGCAUUACCCGUUUUCUCUGGCCAGUUAAAAAAUCUUAGGAAAUAUAUAUAUAUCUUAACGUCUUCAGUUAGCCUUGACCACGGAAUUAGAAAUCAGAGGAACCUGCUU
rnacentral:lncRNA from 1 species